AUUGCACUUUUGGUCCCCCAACUAUGGCCUUCCUGCGAAAAUCGUCCCUAAACUUCAAAAUUAGCAAAACUCGUCCCUCAACUAUACACACAGUUGCACUUUUGGUCUUCCGUUAGCAUUCCGUCAGAAAUCUAACAGAUUGGGACUAGUGACGGAGAUAAUCCGUCACAAUUCACAAUCCAGUCACCAAAUUUCUUCAUCUUCCUCAAUAUAACCACCACUCAUCCUCCCCCUCCUCAUUCCUCACUUUCUCCAUCUUCAUCAACCUCAAUCCCUCAUCCUCCCCUCCCUUCUCCUUUCAUUCCUCUUCACCACUACCUCCCUCAACCAUCAACACAAACUCUCCAUACUGAAAUUGAAUUGGAGCGGAUUGCUGGAGAGAAAGGGGUUUUGGGUUUUUCUUCAACACUCUUUGCAGAUCCCAUUUUCUCAUCUCCUCAUGAAAUUAGAAAUCCAUUUCACAACCCAAAAGAAGGAGUUGCAGACCUCUCCCUCCAUAUCUUCAUCUCAUCUUUCUCACUCGCACCUCUCCCUCCACCGAACCCACACCAGCAAACCACAACCCAGAACCACCUCUCCCUCCACCAACCCCACCCCUCCCCAGAAACCCAACCGGAACCCACCCCAAACCCCACCCAGAAACUGAGCCCACAAACCCCUUCUUCCCUCUCACAAUAGAUCUACCAUAACUGAGAAAGGAAAACCAGAGAAGAAAAUCCAAGACUUUUUUUUUUCAGAUCUCAAACCAUUGUUACAGAUACAGCUUCAACCUAUCAUAUGGUGUCUGGAGAGGGGGAGCUCGAAGCUUGUAACCCAGAAACCCGACCAAAAACCCAGAAACUUUGAAGCUUUGAACGAGAACCAUGAUCUACAGAAGAGGAGGAGGAAGAGGAAACGGAUUUAAUUUUCUGACGGAAUGCUAACGGAAGACCAAAAGUGCAACUGUGUGUAUAGUUGAGGGACGAGUUUUGCUAAUUUUGAAGUUUAGGGACGAUUUUCGCAGGAAGGCCAUAGUUGGGGGACCAAAAGUGCAAUUAAGCCAAAGAAAAAAAAUAAGAGACGUGAUGGUUUGAAAUGAGAUGAAAGAGAGUCGGCGUGAAUGUAUCAAAACUCGUGGCUAUGACAUUUGGUGGUUGCUUUGUAACUUAGUAGUCAUGAGGUUUAAAUUGUUUUUGGUCAUACUAUAGGUUGUAGGUCAUACAUCUUAUUAUUAUGUAAAUUUCUUGUUGAUUUCAUUACACUAAACUGCCAUGGCAUGUUGUUUAUUGA